rnacentral:rRNA from 1 species
GACGAACGCUGGCGGCGUGCUUAACACAUGCAAGUCGAACGGAAAGGCCUCUUUCGGGGGGUACUCGAGUGGCGAACGGGUGAGUAACACGUGAGUAACCUGCCCUUGACUUUGGGAUAACUUCAGGAAACUGGGGCUAAUACCGGAUAGGAGCUCCUGCUGCAGGGUGGGGGUUGGAAAGUUUCGGCGGUUGGGGAUGGACUCGCGGCUUAUCAGCUUGUUGGGGGGGUAGUGGCUUACCAAGGCUUUGACGGGUAGCCGGCCUGAGGGGGUGACCGGCCACAUUGGGACUGAGAUACGGCCCAGACUCCUACGGGAGGCAGCAGUGGGGAAUAUUGCACAAUGGGUGGAAGCCUGAUGCAGCAACGCCGUGUGCGGGAUGACGGCCUUCGGGUUGUAAACCGCUUUCGCUCAUGACGAAGCUUUGUGUGACGGUAGUGGGUAAAGAAGCACCGGCUAACUACGUG